rfam:Hordeum vulgare subsp. vulgare, WGS project CAJW01000000 data, contig: morex_contig_2549759
CUACUACUCCCUCCGUCCGGAAUUACUUGUUGCAAAAAUGGAUAAAAAUUAAUGUAUGUAGAAUUAAAAUACAUCUAGACACAUCCAUUCCACGGACAAGUAUUUCCGGACGGAUGGAGUAGACG